rnacentral:rRNA from 1 species
AUUGAACGCUGGCGGCAUGCCUUACACAUGCAAGUCGAACGGCAGCACGGGGGCAACCCUGGUGGCGAGUGGCGAACGGGUGAGUAAUACAUCGGAACGUGUCCCUUUGUGGGGGAUAACCAGUCGAAAGACUGGCUAAUACCGCAUGAGAUCUCACGAUGAAAGCGAGGGACCGCAAGGCCUCGCGCGAUUGGAGCGGCCGCUGUCGGAUUAGCUAGUUGGCGGGGUAAAAGCCCACCAAGGCGACGAUCCGUAGCUGGUUUGGGAGAACGACCAGCCACACGGGGACUGAGGCACGGCCCAGACUCCGACGGGAGGCAGCAGUGGGAAAUUUUGGACAAUGGGCGGAAGCCUGAUCCAGCCAUGCCGCGUGUGUUAAGAAGGCCUUCGGGUUGUAAAGCACUUUCAAUAGGGAGGAAAACCUGCCGGUCAAUACCCGGUAGCUUGACAUUACCUAUACAAGAAGCACCGGCUAACUCCGUGCCAGCCGCCGCCGUAAGAC